rnacentral:rRNA from 1 species
AGCGAACGCUGGCGGCAGGCUUAACACAUGCAAGUCGAGCGGGCAUCCUUGUGGUGUCAGCGGCAGACGGGUGAGUAACGCGUGGGAACGUGCCCUUCGGUUCGGAAUAACUCAGGGAAACUUGAGCUAAUACCGGAUACGUGCGAGAGCAGAAAGGUUUAUCUGCCGAAGGAUCGGCCCGCGUCUGAUUAGCUAGUUGGUGAGGUUACGGCUCACCAAUGCGACGAUCAGUAGCUGGUCUGAGAGGAUGAUCAGCCACACUGGGACUGAGACACGGCCCAGACUCCUACGGGAGGCAGCAGUGGGGAGUAUUGGACCAUGACGGCAACCCUGAUCCCGCCAUGCCGCGUGAGUGAUGACGCCCUUAGGGUUGUAAAGCUCUUUUCUCUGGCACGAUAAUGACGGUACCGGAGGAAUAAGCCCCGGCUAACUUCGUG